GCCGAUGAUGAGAGCUAUGUAUGACUGCCAGAGUGAUGUGUACCAGGGCUUGACUCAGCUGCAAUCAUAUGGCCAGUCCUUUGUAAUCUUGGAGGCAGGUCGCCAGUGACCUCCCUCUGUAAGGCCAAAGGAAUAUUGAAUUGACAAUUCUUCCCAUUCCAUAUGUGAACAAUGCCUAAAGUGAUUGUGUGUUGUUCAAGGACUGUAAUUGUUAAAUCUCUCUCUCUCUCUCUCUCUCUCUGGCACAGAUUGCAGUAGCCCUGGUUCACUCCCUGGUUGUUGUGAUUUUGCUUUAGUAAUCUGAUGGCC